AUAACUAACUUUUAACACAAAAAACUAUCAUUCGUUUUCAGUUACAAAAAAUAAUAAUUUAUUAUCCACUUUGUCAUGAGUGUUAUCAUGGUUCAUAUUGGUGUCUCAAAGAAAAUCAUGGUUCAUAUUGAAUCAAUAAAAAUAUAAUUAUUAGCUUCGAAUUCGUACUUGUUGUAUGUUUUGUAUUUUUUUCUUUCUGAAAUGGAACCUCAUCGCUCUAUUAGUGUGUGAGUUUAUAUUAGGCAAUACUAAUUCCAAAUCGAGAUGAAAGUAUUGUUAAUAAGAUAAAAUUAUAAAAAUAAAGAAGACAACAGUUAAACUAUUUUAAGUGAAUAAUAUAGAAAGUAUAAAAUAAAAUACUUUGCAAAAGAUCAAAGUAUUUAAAAUUUUUUGUUUUUGGCAGACCAGCUUCGUUUAAUGCGCCGGAGCUUUGCCUAUGGACAACAAACCGCUCCUUCACUUCUAACGGCUAUAUUUGUGGGGUCCUGAGACAUGGAUCACUAGAUCUGCUAAGCAAAUUAACAAACACGUUUACUUGUGGUUAAUAAUGAAAUUAUACUCCAAAGUGAAAAGUAAUAAUGUAAUUUAUAUAAUUUGAAAUUAGAAAGGCAAAACUUUAUUUAAUAGAAAAAGAAGAGAAGGGUUGUGCCGUACGAGGUUAAUGAAUAUGUAUGUUGACGUUGAUCUAUCUUUACUUUUUCUUUUUUUUUUGAUCAACAGAUCUAUCUUUACUUCUCUCCUCUUUAAGACAGUUGUUGAGUGGUUCACGUGUAACCCGUUAGAUAUGUAGGCUUUCCACUUUUGAACUUAAAUUUUAAAUGUUCUUCGUGUAUUUGACUACAAACAUUUCGUUUUUUCAGAGAAUGUCAAGAGUAGACUAUGAUCAAUGACAUAUCAUUCUUAUGGGUAGAACAGUAAGGUUGCAAGAAAUAAUCUUUACCUUAAACUCAACAUAAUAUGCCACCAGUAGAGAUGUUAAAAUGGAUUCAACUUAACAUAAUUAAUUUUUUUAAACCCUAAUACUGAGUUUUGGUACCAUGGACCACACAUGGAUCAUAUAUAAUUAAAUACCUGGACUUAACAAAGUUAAGUUUUUUUCUUCACUAAACAAGGUUAAUAUACUAAGAUUUUUUUGUCAACACAACAUUUUGUAAUCAUGAUUUCCUUUUAAUUUGGCCCACCAAUCAUUUUAAAAAUAUUUUAGGGCCUGAUCCAUAAAAGUUGCGCUGGCCCAAUACCUUCAGGUCACGGGUUCGAGCUGUCCUUCUGCUUUUCUUUUCCUUGAUCAACAGUACUAUUAUUUUAAAAUACAUGACACUCUAAUGAUGUUUUUCAUGUACAUGACACUCUAAUGAUGAUUUUCAAACACUUGUCUCUUGAUGUUUUUGUUGUUACUUAUUGGUAAGUACUAGAAAACAAAAUAACUAGACUUUUUAUUUUUCUUGUUGGAUGUCAAUUUUAUUUCAAGAUAAGUCAUGGUCAAGAAAAUUUAACUUGAUUUGAUCAAAGUAUUAGAGUAGACUAUAUGUAUUUUGAACAUAACUUCUACAGAAAAUUUUAAUAACAUUUGAAUAAAGACUCGUCUUCCAAAAUUUAUUUCAACCUCCACAAUAAAUAGUCACUACCUUAUUUAAAAAAGAGUUAUUAACAUAAAUAGACACAUUAUGUCUUUUUAUUACAUAGGAGAGCACAAUGUGCUACUAAAGUACUUUCUAGUGGUUGAAUACAUGUUUGUCCUCCAUAAAGCAAACUAAGUGUGAGUAUUUGGGUAAUUAGACAUUUUCAUUCUAGUUGGGCUGGUUAGGGAAUUUAAAUUUUAAAUUUUUUAGGUUUCAGGUAGUGGACGUGAAACAGAUGUAAAAUUGAGUUUUUAGUUUUGCACAAACCUGUGAAAAAAAAAUAAAACGCCGUGGGAGAAGACAGAGACCGCAAUUUCCGACGGAGCGACGAAUGAGAUUUUUCAUGGACAGAGAAGAUGAUGUCAUCGCGAAAUAGGAGAGUUUCAAAGGGCAAAGCGAAAGAGAUAGCGGAACCACAUGAAGGAGCAGUCACGGUUGUUUGCGACAGACAUAUACCCAAGCAAAAGGCACAAUUGUAAUUCAUUGUUGGAGUAUCUUCUUAUGGUAAGGGGUGUGCUUGAAAGGACAUAAGAGAUGGAGAAGCUUCUGGGCUUGUGCUUUGUCAACCUAGUUAGGCUAAAAACAAAAAGUGUAGUUGCGUACAUGCGUACAAAAUGAGAUAAGCUUCUGGACUCAUUUUAUGUCCUAUCUUUGAACGGUUUAUGUGUACAUGUGUACAAAGAGAGGUAGUUGUAGUCAUGGACAUUAAAGAAAAAUUGUAUACAAGUAGGGGCUGAUGAUUGUGGAAAUUGAAUCAGUCUAUGUAUAUGUAUAUUUUAAGUUGGGGUUUUGAAUUUUAUGCUUUUGUAAUGUGAAACUUGAUGGAAGUGUGCCCCGGUGUUGUCUACAUGCGUACAAUAAAGCGUAGUUGUACACAUGGACAAGAGACAGUUUGACAUAAUUUAAAACAGUCAUGACAUAAUUUGUGGAUGGGAGAACGGAUUGCUAAAGCUGUAAAAUUUGAAGUUGUGAUGACAUAAUUUAUGAUCAUAUCCGAUUGAGGGGGGGGGGGGGGGGGGGUUUAUACAUAUAGAAAUGGGUAAAUAAAUGUACAUGUGUACGAGUUGCAUUCGAACAGCUUGUAAGCGACAUGGUAGAUGAGUGUCAACCCUGUCUAAACAAGCAAGUAAGCGACAUGUGUGUAUUUUUUAAGUUGGGGUUUUGAAUUUAUGCGGUUUCUGUAAUGUGAAAUUUGAUGGAAGUGUGCCUCGGUGGCGUGUACAUGCAUGCAAUAAAGGGUAGUUGUACGCAUGGUCAAGAGACAGUUUGGUACAUAUUAUUUACAAAUUUGACUUAAUUUAAAACAGUCAUGACAUAAUUUGUGGACGGGAGAAGAAAUCGCUAAAGCUGUAAAAUUUGAAGUUGUGAUAACAUAAUUUAUGAGGAUAUUGUAUUUUUUUGGGGUGGGGGUGGGGUUGUACAUAUUGCAUAGUAAAGUAUUCACAUGUACACAUAAUUUCCAUUAAGUGCAUAUUAUUAACUAUCCACAUAUACAUUGUUUCGAGGAACAACAUUGGUUUAUAAUGUACACUAGCUAUCAACAAAUGUUCACAUGUACACAAAUGUGAAGGUGGUUGUGUACGGGGGUAUAUAGGUAUGUCCAAAAAGAAGAAGGAUGGAGGUGAGUGAAUGCGCAAUCGUAGAAGAAGGUCUGGUGUAUAUAUGAUUCACUACAGUCAGAUUGUUCGAGGAUGAUGUUUUGAUUUGGAUAGAACAUAUGUGUAUUUUUGUUUUGUGUAUACAAAUUGUAGCUUGUAGCUUGGCAUUGUUGUACACGUGGACAGCUCGUAGCUCCAUGAUGUACAGUUGACAUAGUUGUACACGUGGACAACUUGUAGCUUAGUGUGAUUCUGAAAAUCUAACUCCGUAGAAAACUGUAAGAACUGUGAUUGUGUAAUUUUGUUACCAAUUUUCCACAUCUCAUAGAACUAGGCAGUAGAAACAUGGUUAAUAUAAUGUAGUUGAUGGGAAGAGCGUACAUGUGUACGGUUGAGGCAGUGUACGGGGUGUAUAGGUAGAUGAGGUUUCUAAACCAGCGUAACCAAGUUAGACAAAAUGUCCAGAAUAGAAAUCCGCGACUUGAUUAAAGUUUGUGGGCUAAAAGUAAAGUCAAUACAUAUUAAAGAAAUUUAUUCCAUUCGCCAACGAUAACCAUACAGUGAGCCGUCCGCCAUGGAAGAUACCUACAAGAAAUGAAAGGGUUUUUGUUCAAAGAGUUAAAAACUUGGAGUUACAGUAAACGACAUUAACAAAACAUG